GAGUUUGAUCCUGGCUCAGAUUGAACGCUGGCGGCAUGCCUUACACAUGCAAGUCGAACGGCAGCAUGAUCUAGCUUGCUAGAUUGAUGGCGAGUGGCGAACGGGUGAGUAAUACAUCGGAACGUGCCCUGUAGUGGGGGAUAACUAGUCGAAAGAUUAGCUAAUACCGCAUACGACCUGAGGGUGAAAGUGGGGGACCGCAAGGCCUCAUGCUAUAGGAGCGGCCGAUGUCUGAUUAGCUAGUUGGUGGGUAAAGGCCCACCAAGGCGUCGAUCAGUAGCUGGUCUGAGAGGACGAUCAGCCACACUGGGACUGAGACACGGCCCAGACUCCUACGGGAGGCAGCAGUGGGGAA
rnacentral:rRNA from 1 species